rnacentral:rRNA from 1 species
AUACGGAGGAUCCGAGCGUUAUCCGGAUUUAUUGGGUUUAAAGGGUGCGCAGGCGGGAGAUUAAGUCGGCGGUGGAAUUUUGCAGCUCAACUGUAAAAGGGCCUUUAAAACUGGGUUCCUUGUGGGUAGAUGAAGUAAGGGGGAUUUUGGGUGUAGGGGUGGAAUGCAUAGAUAUCACGAGGAACUCCGAUUGCGCAGGCAGCUUACUAAACUACUACUGACGCUCAGGCACGAAGGCGUGGGGAUCAAACAGGAUUAGAUACCCUGGUAGUCCACGCAGUAAACGAUGAUUACUAGCUGUUUGCGAUACAAUGUAAGCGGCUGAGCGAAAGCGUUAAGUAAUCCACCUGGGGAGUACGUUCGCAAGAAUGAAACUCAAAGGAAUUGACGGGG